UACGGAGGGGGCUAGCGUUAUUCGGAAUUACUGGGCGUAAAGCGCACGUAGGCGGAUCUGCAAGUCAGAGGUGAAAUCCCAGGGCUCAACCUUGGAACUGCCCUUGAAACUGCGGGUCUUGAGUUCGAGAGAGGUGAGUGGAACUUCGAGUGUAGAGGUGUAAUUCGUAGAUAUUCGGAGGAACACCAGUGGCGAAGGCGGCUCACUGGCUCGAUACUGACGCUGAGGUGCGAAAGCGUGGGGAGCAAACAGG
rnacentral:rRNA from 1 species